CGGACGGGUGAGUAACGCGUGGGUAACCUGCCUCAUACAGGGGGAUAACAGUUAGAAAUGACUGCUAAUACCGCAUAAGCGCACGGGGAUGCAUAUUCUUGUGUGAAAAACUCCGGUGGUAUGAGAUGGACCCGCGUCUGAUUAGCUAGUUGGUGAGGUAACGGCUCACCAAGGCGACGAUCAGUAGCCGACCUGAGAGGGUGGCCGGCCACAUUGGGACUGAGACACGGCCCAAACUCCUACGGAAGGCAGCAG
rnacentral:rRNA from 1 species